rnacentral:rRNA from 1 species
CGGCGGACGGCGGCAAUCUUUGAUGAUUGCUAUUUUUUGGCGUGUGAUUUUCCUACUUCUAGGUUUGAACAUUGUAAUAGGGAAGCCAAUAAGGUUGCGCACGAGCUUGCUAGGUUGGCUAGAUUUUCUUCUACCAUUGAUUGGUUUGAGGAGCCUAUGUUUGAGAUUGUACCAUUCCUCACAAACGAUGUAUCUGUUAUUUCCGUUGAAUAA